AGUGAACGCUGGCGGUAGGCCUAACACAUGCAAGUCGAACGGCAGCACAGUAAGAGCUGGCUCUUACGGGUGGCGAGUGGCGGACGGGUGAGGAAUACAUCGGAAUCUACUUUUUCGUGGGGGAUAACGUAGGGAAACUUACGCUAAUACCGCAUACGACCUACGGGUGAAAGCAGGGGAUCUUCGGACCUUGCGCGAUUGAAUGAGCCGAUGUCGGAUUAGCUAGUUGGCGGGGUAAAGGCCCACCAAGGCGACGAUCCGUAGCUGGUCUGAGAGGAUGAUCAGCCACACUGGAACUGAGACACGGUCCAGACUCCUACGGGAGGCAGCAGUGGGGAAUAUUGGACAAUGGGCGCAAGCCUGAUCCAGCCAUACCGCGUGGGUGAAGAAGGCCUUCGGGUUGUAAAGCCCUUUUGUUGGGAAAGAAAAGCAGAAGGUUAAUACCCCGCUGUUCUGACGGUACCCAAAGAAUAAGCACCGGCUAACUUCGUG
rnacentral:rRNA from 1 species